rnacentral:rRNA from 1 species
GAUGAACGCUAGCGGCAGGCCUAACACAUGCAAGUCGAGGGACCGGCGCACGGGUGCGUAACGCGUAUCAAUCUACCUUGUAAAGGGAUAGCCCAAGAAAUUUGGAUUAAUACCUAUAUACAAGAUGGCAUGCGUCCCAUUAGUUAGUUGGUGUGGCAACGGCACACCAAGACGAUGAUGGGUAGGGGUCCUGAGAGGGAGAUCCCCCACACUGGUACUGAGACACGGACCAGACUCCUACGGGAGGCAGCAGUGAGGAAUAUUGGUCAAUGGAGGCAACUCUGAACCAGCCAUGCCGCGUGUAUGAAGAAGGCUUCGGGUUGUAAAGUACUUUCAGCGGGAGACGUUACCGCAGAAGAAGCACCGGCUAACUCCGUGCCAGCAGCCGCGGUAAUUC